CCCUUAGAUGUUCUGGGCAGCACGCGCGCUACAAUGGUCUUCGCAAACGGAUGCAUUCUCGAAGGAGAAUGCCAAUCUUGGAAUCUAUGCCUUGGUCGGGACAGUUGCUUGCAAUUUUUCGACUCGAACCAGGAAUUCCUUGUAAUCGUGAUUCAUCACAUCACGAUGAUUACGUCCCUGCCCUUUGUACACACCGCCCGUCGCUGCCCGGAACUGAGCCGUUUCGAGAAGACUGAGGAUUGCUGACUUGAGGCCUUCACGGGCUUCUAGUCGGUGAAAAUCAAUUUAAUCGCAGCGGCUUGAACCGGGCAAAAGUCGUAACA
rnacentral:rRNA from 1 species